UGGGGAAUAUUGGACAAUGGGCGCAAGCCUGAUCCAGCCAUGCCGCGUGAGUGAUGAAGGCCUUAGGGUUGUAAAGCUCUUUUACCAGGGAUGAUAAUGACGGUACCUGGAGAAUAAGCUCCGGCAAACUCCGUGCCAGCAGCCGCGGUAAUACGGAGGGAGCUAGCGUUGUUCGGAAUUACAGGGCGUAAAGGGCGCGUAGGCGGCCAUUCAAGUCAGAGGUGAAAACCCGGGGCUCAACUCCGGAACUGCCUUAGAAACUAGAUGGCUAGAAUCCAGGAGAGGUGAGUGGAAUUCCGAGUGUAGAGGUGAAAUUCGUAGAUAUUCGGAAGAACACCAGUGGCGAAGGCGACUCACUGGACUGUUAUUGACGCUGAGGUGCGAAAGCGUGGGGAGCAAACAGGAUUAGAUACCCCUGUAGUCC
rnacentral:rRNA from 1 species